GACGAACGCUGGCGGCGUGCUUAACACAUGCAAGUCGAACGAGGAUAUGCCAGAGGAGAGCUUCGGCAGGAAUCAGGCAUAUUCGAGUGGCGGACGGGUGAGUAACGCGUGAGCAACCUGUCCCAGACAGGGGGAUAACACUUGGAAACAGGUGCUAAUACCGCAUAAGACCACGGUAUCACAUGGUAGUGGGGUAAAAGGAGCAAUCCGGUUUGGGGUGGGCUCGCGUCCGAUUAGAUAGUUGGUGAGGUAACGGCCCACCAAGUCGACGAUCGGUAGCCGACCUGAGAGGGUGAUCGGCCACAUUGGAACUGAGAGACGGUCCAA
rnacentral:rRNA from 1 species